UUCCAUGGCGGGCGGUGCGCGGGGGUCUUCGGAUCCGCCGGAUCAUUGGGGGGGUUUGCUCAGCCGGUACUGUGACCCGCACCGUCCGCCACCUCG
rnacentral:antisense_RNA from 1 species